rnacentral:rRNA from 1 species
UUCCUACGGGAUGCAGCAGUCGCGAAAACUCCGCAAUGCGCGAAAGCGUGACGGGGCUAUCCCGAGUGCCGUCCGCUGAGGAUGGCUUUUCCCCGGUGUAAGGAGCCGGGGGAAUAAGGAGAGGGCAAGCCUGGUGUCAGCCGCCGCGGUAAUACCAGCUCUCCGAGUGGUAGGGACGAUUAUUGGGCUUAAAGCGUCCGUAGCCGGCCCGGCAAGUCUCCCGUUAAAUCCAGCGAUCUAAUCGUUGGUCUGCGGGAGAUACUGUUGGGCUAGGAGGCGGGAGAGGCCGACGGUAUUCCCGGGGUAGGGGUGAAAUCCUAUAAUCCCGGGAGGACCACCAGUGGCGCAAGCGCGUGUCUCGCAUAGACACGCGUAGUGC